ensembl:misc_RNA Metazoa_SRP Metazoan signal recognition particle RNA
GCCAGGCGCGGUGGCUCACGCCUGUAAUCCCAACACUUUGGGAGGCUGAGGUGGGUGGAUCACCUGAGGUCAGGAGUUCAAGACCCAGCCUGGCCAACAUGGUGAAACCCCAUCUCUA